CGUCACUUCCUUUAAACCAAAACGAGGCUGCGGGGUACGGAAGUAACGUUGGCUCGCCCAUCUGUAGACUUCUGUCAUAACGUUACCUACAAUGCCGCCGCAUUGUUGUGUUCCCGAAUGUACGUCUUCAAAGAGAAAGAACUCCUAUACAGGUCAAACCUUCCUUCGUUUCCCCAAAGAUCCUGUACUUGGCCGUGAAUGGAUUCAUAAAAUAAGAAGAGAUCCCGGUCGCCAUUUCAUGUGUUAUACUUCAACAAUUUGGGGGCUCGUUCCGGGAUUGGAAAGAGGAGAAGGAAUUCGAUCUUGUCCAGACAACCUACGCGAGAUUCACAGGUUCCGAGCCGGCUCAUGAUAAAGAAUUCACCAACAGAGUCGGAGAACGGAGGGACCUGCACCCGCUGGACCAGAACCUGCCCCAGGCGGAGUGGGUGUUGCUGAAGGUCAUCAAGCGAAAGUGGUCGGAGCCAAGGUGGACAGGUCCUCAUCAGGUGGUGGAGAGAACGAGUCAUGCGGUCCGCCUGAGGGACAAAGGAGAGACGUGGUACCAUUGGAGUCAGUGUACACCAGCGCAGGAGCCAGGGAGGUCGCUAACGGACCUCAUCCAAGCCGGGAAGGAGGAGCUUUCCCCAGCGGGGACGGAAGAAGGACCAACACCAGCCGGACCGGUGCCAGGAGCGGACCCCAGGACACGGCAGGACCACGAGCGAGUGAAGGAGACAGAGGACGGCGCCAGGGGAAUAGACUCUUAGGGGAAAGAACUGAAGAAUACUGUAACAAAAGGGGGUAUAGGACACCGAGUGGCUCAUACCACUCGUACCAAGAUGACAGGGUUACAGAGAAAGGUCUGGGGAGAUGAUAGUAGAAUGAAAUGUUAUAUGGGCAUUGGUGGAAUAAUAUGUGUGUUGUAUGUUGCUACAGGUUUCCCUGGCUGGCGUCGAGUCUCCAUCUCCACAGCGAGAAGGCAGGUGACACAAAAAGAGGACGCCUGCCUGAAGCAGGGAGGGGGUAUUGAAUUGGAUUAUAUCAAAGGGUCACAUACUGCUUUCACGUUUGACCUAUGCUCGGUCAUAGCUUGCGGGAGAUAUAAUGGCUCGUGGAGGGAUUACAACUUGUAUGUGUGUCACACUCCAGAUGUAGAUAGGAUGUGUGGCCUGAUGGGACGUCUGCCGGGUGAGAGGUGGUGCCCGGGAUGGGACGAGGUCCGAGCGUAUACGGGACAGUGGCAGCCCGGACUCCCGAGGGGACCGAAUGCCACUAUGUGGAGCUCAUUUAAGUUCCAACGAGAUUUCAGCUCCUCCCAGAAUCCACUUACCUUGUCUGUCGGAGGUUGGGACACCUCUCCAUACAGAGGCGCGGACACGACAUAUUUGGUUCUCGGAGUGGAGCAUGCAGGGACUGAUACCAAAGCGUUUAUUAAAAUCAACAUUAGGGUGCCGACAACUAGCUCUCCAGCUGUGGCAGUUACGGGGACUGUGG
ensembl:lncRNA